rnacentral:rRNA from 1 species
AUGAGCUCCGGGACGGGGAAGGCUGAGUUACUUGACCCAGCAGUCAAUAGAACGCUCAAUGUUCUUCGUUCUUGCAAGAAGGCCUCUAUCAAGAGAGUGAUCGUAACCUCAUCCAUGGCUGCUGUUGCCUACAAUGGGAAGCCAAGGACUCCUGAUGUAGUGGUUGACGAGACAUGGUUUUCAAGUCCAGAGGUCUGCGAAAAGAAUAAGCAAUGGUAUGUGCUAUCCAAGACCCUUGCCGAGGAGGCUGCAUGGAAGUACGCAAAUGAUAAUGGAUUGGAAAUAAUUACAAUAAACCCAACAAUGGUCAUCGGUCCCCUGUUGCAGCCUACACUGAAUACUAUCGCAGAAGCAAUAUUGAAGUUUAUAAAUGGAUCAUCUUCUACAUACGCCAAUUUCUGCUUUGGAUGGAUAAACGUUAAAGAUGUUGCCCUGGCACAUAUCCUUGCAUAUGAAGUUCCUUCAGCAAACGGAAGAUAUUGUAUGGUUGAAAGAGUCAUUCACCACUCGGACCUUGUCAAGAUCAUACACGAGAUGUAUCCUGAAUUUCCAGUGCCAGACAAGUGUGCAGAUGAUGCACCGUUUGCCACAAUCUACCAGGUAUCAAAGGACAAGAUAAGAAGUCUAGGCAUGGAGCUGACCCCCCUGGAGACAAGCCUCAAGGGACUAUCGAGAGCUUGA